rnacentral:rRNA from 1 species
UACGAGGGGGGCAAGCGUUGUUCGGAAUUAUUGGGCGUAAAGGGCGCGUAGGCGGUUUGGUAAGUCUGAUGUGAAAUCUAUGGGCUCAACUCAUAGUCUGCAUCGGAAACUGCCGGGCUUGAGUGUGGGAGAGGUGAGUGGAAUUCCUGGUGUAGCGGUGAAAUGCGUAGAUAUCAGGAGGAACACCUGUGGCGAAAGCGGCUCACUGGACCAUAACUGACGCUGAUGCACGAAAGCUAGGGGAGCAAACAGG